rnacentral:rRNA from 1 species
UACGUAGGGUGCAAGCGUUAAUCGGAAUUACUGGGCGUAAAGCGUGCGCAGGCGGUGAUGUAAGACAGAUGUGAAAUCCCCGGGCUCAACCUGGGAACUGCAUUUGUGACUGCAUCGCUGGAGUACGGCAGAGGGGGAUGGAAUUCCGCGUGUAGCAGUGAAAUGCGUAGAGAUGCGGAGGAACACCGAUGGCGAAGGCAGCCCCCCUGGGCCAACACUGACGCUCAGGCACGAAAGCGUGGGGAGCAAACAGG